rnacentral:rRNA from 1 species
GAUGAACGCUGGCGGCGUGCCUAAUACAUGCAAGUCGAGCGAACAGACGAGGAGCUUGCUCCCCUGACGUUAGCGGCGGACGGGUGAGUAACACGUGGAUAACCUACCUAUAAGACUGGGAUAACUUCGGGAAACCGGAGCUAAUACCGGAUAAUAUAUUGAACCGCAUGGUUCAAUAGUGAAAGACGGUUUUGCUGUCACUUAUAGAUGGAUCCGCGCCGCAUUAGCUAGUUGGUAAGUUAACGGCUUACCAAGGCAACGAUGCGUAGCCGACCUGAGAGGGUGAUCGGCCACACUGGAACUGAGACACGGUCCAGACUCCUACGGGAGGCAGCAGUAGGGAAUCUUCCGCAAUGGGCGAAAGCCUGACGGAGCAACGCCGCGUGAGUGAUGAAGGUCUUCGGAUCGUAAAACUCUGUUAUUAGGGAAGAACAAAUGUGUAAGUAACUAUGCACGUCUUGACGGUACCUAAUCAGAAAGCCACGGCUAACUACGUG